AUUGAACGCUGGCGGCAGGCUUAACACAUGCGAGUCGAGCGGGGAAGAGUAGCUUGCUACUUGACCUAGCGGCGGACGGGUGAGUAAUGCUUAGGAAUCUGCCUAUUAGUGGGGGACAACAUCUCGAAAGGGAUGCUAAUACCGCAUACGUCCUACGGGAGAAAGCAGGGGACCUUCGGGCCUUGCGCUAAUAGAUGAGCCUAAGUCGGAUUAGCUAGUUGGUGGGGUAAAGGCCUACCAAGGCGACGAUCUGUAGCGGGUCUGAGAGGAUGAUCCGCCACACUGGGACUGAGACACGGCCCAGACUCCUACGGGAGGCAGCAGUGGGGAAUAUUGGACAAUGGGGGGAACCCUGAUCCAGCCAUGCCGCGUGUGUGAAGAAGGCCUUUUGGUUGUAAAGCACUUUAAGCGAGGAGGAGGCUACCGAGAUUAAUACUCUUGGAUAGUGGACGUUACUCGCAGAAUAAGCACCGGCUAACUCUGUG
rnacentral:rRNA from 1 species